AAGGGCAGCCGGAGUUCAUCAGCCCCACCCCGUUCAUUACUGAGCACUGGAUGUGACCUACCCUGAGCCACGAAGCAAAGAGUUCAGACUGAGAGGAUGUGAUCUGAAGGUUACUGCACGUGUCAUUCUUUCCGUGCAAGCUGUUAGCCUCCAGUGACUGAACCAGCCAUCCCGGGUGAACAAAAACUUAAAAGAUGAGCAAGCCUUGGGCCAGGGGAAGCCAUAAGCAGAGGGUGGAGUGUGGUUGAGAGCUGCUCCACGCUCCUCCCUGCAGGCUGGCUUCCUCUGCUCGCUUACCAAGUCCUGAGGACCUUCUGACUUUAGACUCCACCACCUUCAGACUGCCUCAGUCUUCCACAAGAGCUCAAAUUCUCAGAGAAAUCAUCUGAUUGGCUUAGCCUGAGUCAGGUGACUAAUCCCUU